rnacentral:rRNA from 2 species
AACUUCUGAAUGUUGACCUCGGAUCAGGUAGGAAUACCCGCUGAACUUAAGCAUAUCAAUAAGCGGAGGAAAAGAAACCAACAGGGAUUGCCCUAGUAACGGCGAGUGAAGCGGCAACAGCUCAAAUUUGAAAUCUGGCUUUCGGGCCCGAGUUGUAAUUUGUAGAGGAUACUUUUGAUGCGGUGCCUUCCGAGUUCCCUGGAACGGGACGCCAUAGAGGGUGAGAGCCCCGUCUGGUUGGAUGCCAAAUCUCUGUAAAGUUCCUUCGACGAGUCGAGUAGUUUGGGAAUGCUGCUCUAAAUGGGAGGUAUAUGUCUUCUAAAGCUAAAUAUUGGCCAGAGACCGAUAGCGCACAAGUAGAGUGAUCGAAAGAUGAAAAGCACUUUGAAAAGAGAGUUAAAAAGUACGUGAAAUUGUUGAAAGGGAAGCGUUUAUGACCAGACUUGGACUUGGUUAAUCAUCUGGGGUUCUCCCCAGUGCACUUUUCCAGUUCAGGCCAGCAUCAGUUUUCGCCGGGGGAUAAAGGCAGCGGGAAUGUGGCUCUCUUCGGGGAGUGUUAUAGCCCGUUGUGUAAUACCCUGGUGGGGA